rnacentral:rRNA from 1 species
AUUGAACGCUGGCGGCAGGCUUAACACAUGCAAGUCGAGCGGAGAUGAGGUGCUUGCACCUUAUCUUAGCGGCGGACGGGUGAGUAAUGCUUAGGAAUCUGCCUAUUAGUGGGGGACAACAUUCCGAAAGGAAUGCUAAUACCGCAUACGCCCUACGGGGGAAAGCAGGGGAUCUUCGGACCUUGCGCUAAUAGAUGAGCCUAAGUCGGAUUAGCUAGUUGGUGGGGUAAAGGCCUACCAAGGCGACGAUCUGGAGCGGGUCUGAGAGGAUGAUCCGCCACACUGGGACGGAGACACGGCCCAGAGUCCGACGGGAGGCAGCAGUGGGGAAUAUUGGACAAUGGGCGGAAGCCUGAUCCAGCCAUGCCGCGUGUGUGAAGAAGGCCUUUUGGUUGUAAAGCACUUUAAGCGAGGAGGAGGCUAUCUGGAUUAAUACUCUAGGAUAGUGGACGUUACUCGCAGAAUAAGCACCGGCUAACUCUGUGCCAGCAGCCGCAGUAACAC